AUCCAGCUAACGCGUCCCAAACAGGACGAAACACGUGUUGAACUGGAU
rnacentral:hammerhead_ribozyme from 1 species